rnacentral:rRNA from 1 species
GACGAACGCUGGCGGCGUGCUUAACACAUGCAAGUCGAACGGAAAGGCCCUGCUUUUGUGGGGUGCUCGAGUGGCGAACGGGUGAGUAACACGUGAGUAACCUGCCCUUGACUUUGGGAUAACUUCAGGAAACUGGGGCUAAUACCGGAUAGGAGCUCCUGCUGCAUGGUGGGGGUUGGAAAGUUUCGGCGGCUGGGGAUGGACUCGCGGCUUAUCAGCUUGUUGGUGGGGUAGUGGCUUACCAAGGCUUUGACGGGUAGCCGGCCUGAGAGGGUGACCGGCCACAUUGGGACUGAGAUACGGCCCAGACUCCUACGGGAGGCAGUAGUGGGGAAUAUUGCACAAUGGGCGGAAGCCUGAUGCAGCAACGCCGCGUGCGGGAUGACGGCCUUCGGGUUGUAAACCGCUUUCGCCUGUGACGAAGCGUGAGUGACGGUAAUGGGUAAAGAAGCACCGGCUAACUACGUG